GAUGAACGCUGGCGGCGUGCCUAAUACAUGCAAGUCGAGCGAACAGACGAGGAGCUUGCUCCUCUGACGUUAGCGGCGGACGGGUGAGUAACACGUGGAUAACCUACCUAUAAGACUGGGAUAACUUCGGGAAACCGGAGCUAAUACCGGAUAAUAUAUUGAACCGCAUGGUUCAAUAGUGAAAGACGGUUUUGCUGUCACUUAUAGAUGGAUCCGCGCCGCAUUAGCUAGUUGGUAAGGUAACGGCUUACCAAGGCAACGAUGCGUAGCCGACCUGAGAGGGUGAUCGGCCACACUGGAACUGGAAAACGGUCCAGACUCCUACGGGAGGCAGCAGUAGGGAAUCUUACGCAAUGGGCGAAAGCCUGACGGAGCAACACCGCGUGAGUGAUGAAGGUCUUCGGAUCGUAAAACUCUGUUACGAGGGAAGAAGAAAUGUGUAAGUAACUAUGCACAUCUUGACGGUACCUAAUCAGAAAGCCACGGCUAACUACGUG
rnacentral:rRNA from 1 species